ensembl:lncRNA
AGCAGCACUGGGAAUGUUUUUCUGAGCAUUGCAUGGGGUUAUGAGAUGAGCGUACUAUCUUUUUAUGUUUUAGAACAUCCAAAAUCAAGGACUGCAGAAUGAGACAUCAAUCUAUUUCAUAUAUUACAUAAAAAUGUCAAAAGAAUUUUAUUUCUUUAAAAGAGCGGUGCAGAAUAGACUGGAAGAUGAUACAUUUUUGACAUUGUGCGAACUUGUAGAGUCCUGGACUCAAAAUGACUUGAUGGCAAUCUUCUUUAUAAUUUUCCUAGGAAUUAUUUUUGAGAUCAUCCUCAUAAAGAUUUAUACAUUCUUUCAUAAGAAGCCUGCACUUCCAGAAAAGGGUAGUUCAGGUGCCCAGGAGAAGAAAGACAGUUGCCUGAAAAGCCUGGAAUUUGAUAACUGGUCAUUUCAUCCAUCUUCAUCUUCGGAAAAAAGAUUCAGAGUUGAUGACUUUUCAGAAAGAACAGUGACUUCAUCACUUACAACUGAAGACAGUGAAGGCAACUUUGAAGAUAGAGUUUCACUAGCAGAUAAAGUACUAUGGUCAAGUGCCAGUGAAAGUAAACAUCAAGAGAGGAGUAGAGACAUGGAGAUCCUCUUUCCAUCGCACACCAAUGACUGAGGAUGAGUUGAAGGAAAUGGAGCCUAUAAAUGAGACUGGCAGAGGACCAGAGCAUUGGGAGGGCAUCGAGGGAGAGAGUGUUCUUAAACAGCAGUGAGGGGUCAAUAAUGCCAGAGGUCAUGAAAUACAGGAGUAAGUACUGAUUUUGAG